AAUAAACCCACAGUGAAGCCUCAGAAGGAGGGCUGGCCUUUCAUUUUCCACUGGGAUCCCGGGGCUGGGGUGUGGGGCGCUCCCUCAGACGUGGUUGUCAAAGAUGAGCCUCAUGAAAUCACCUUGACCCGGUGACACUGACAUACGGUGUUCACUGGUGUGGGGGAAGGGCUACAACAAGAGGGCUCAACUGUGGUAAGACUCAGCCCCAGGGAAGGCAGCAUCCAAUGGUAAUUUUAGCGACUGCACGCUGGCUAGCCAUGAAGGCAGGCUGGGGAGCUGGGCAACACGGGGCCUGCACUUUGCAGAACCACCAGGGACCUGGCUGGGGCACCACCUGCAGUCACUCUAAACGGGGCACUCACAUGCUCCAUCAGUUGUCUCACGGUGCAGUUUGCCACGGGGGUGGGGUCCCGUAUGUAGCACGUGGUUUCCAGCGUGUCUAUUUCGAGCUCAAACACCUCCCCAAUUGGCCGCUGUGGAGACACAGAAUGAAGCAGUGAGCGGCCUGAUCCCGUUGCGCGGGCGAGAACGUGAGCACCCAGCGGGCUGGAAGUAACGCCUGUUGGAGAGGCGAGGGACAGGUCAUUGCUACUGUUAGUCUGCACCUCCACCGAGCUCUGACCUGGCCUGUGGGCAGGACAGGGACCAGGGCUUCUCAGGUCUACUUCUGUCGGCUGUGCGAGCUCAGACGGUGUUUGCAAGGAAGAAGCGACCGUGGCCUUGGACGGGUUGAUGGAACCACAGUCAUCACCCUGAGCUCUACUUGGAAGCUAACGUGAGCACUGAUACUUCGCUUUGAAAAUUUCACGCUUCGAUCGGCGCUUUGAAAAAAAUCAGCUUUCAUUUUUUCUCAAUCAAGUGGCAAAGAAAAAUUGUCCUUGGCGGUUUGUCAUUGGGUUUGCCUAGUUGCUGCCCUCUACUGCCCCCUGCUGGAGACGAAGGGGAAGCGCGAGCCUCCCUCUGAGACUGCGGAAGCUGUGAGUUGCUGGUACCGUCUAGAAGGAAUAGCAAGGAAGGCAGAUAGGGGAGCCCUGAAACUCCUUGUGCCCAGCUCUGAUUGCCUCUCAUUUAGUUCUGCCUGACUCGCUACUACCCGAAACCUAGGGAUCUCUUUGCCAAGGAGAAGCUGUGUUUUAUGAUGUGCAGAUGUGCCCAAAUUAAACGUCCUGAAGACACUCACAGCUGCAGAAAUAGAAGCAGGUACUCCUGGGUUUCUCUAGGAAAGCACCUGUCAAGCUCUGCCUUUAGUGAAGAUUGCAACCUCCCUUCCUUACUUUUCCCUCAAAUGCUUAUGUUGUGUGUUAUUUCCCCUGACCUCGUGGGUGUUUCCUCUGAACCACCACUGGGCGUCAGUACAGUUGCAGCCCUCCUAAAAUCCAUCCUGAUGUCUAAUAUUUGUCCCACCGUGAGAUAGAGGUUAGUACCGACAUCCAGAUACUUACCUUAUUCCCUCCUUUGGGUUGUAAAUAUCUUGUAGGUUGUAAAUACCUUGUAAAUAUCUUGGGUUGUAAAUAUCUUGUACCUUAUUCCCUCCUUUGGGUUGUAAAUAUCUUGUACAUAUCUUCGAGUUUGAGCUCCAAAGAAAAACUUUCUCACUUUUAUGUUAGGUUGAACCAUUAAAAUGCCAAUAUUUGACUGGUUUUAAUAUACAAAAGUAGAAAUUUCUUAUGGUUCAGCUUAAUAUCUCUCAUGGCACGUGACACUGGUUCCUGCCCGUGAAAGGCUUGUAUUCAAUUGUUUGCUGCAAGAAUCACCCUUCAUCAGAUAUAAAAUCUAAUUCAAAAUAGGCAGUAGACAUAUACCUUUUCCCCAUUGCCCCAAAUCUCUCGACUGUUCCACAAGCCAUAUUUUCCAGCUUAAUCUUUAUUGUCACUGGCUUCAGACUGCAUCGAUUACUUGUCUAGCUUGUGAAGAGGUAAACGCCAUUCAUGCCAAGAUUUCUUUCUGAGAGGUGGGCACCUCUCUUUGGGAGGUAACUCGUGUAGAGGAAGGAACAUGGGUUCAGAAUCAAAUCCCAGCCCAAUGUUUACAAGUUAUAUGAUCCUGAACAACAACAAAAUGCCCUAAUGUCAGAGGCUCGGGCUUCUCUCAUGUAAGACAAGGACAAUACCUACCACACAGGACUGGGGGCUGGGAGGGAGUAAGGAGAUCGUGUGUGGGAAGGGGCCUGGCGCACAGUAGAUGGCUGUCAAAUGCUAGUUUCAUUCAUUCUCAGUCUUCAUCCAGAGAAAUGGAAGCAAAGAAAGAGAAGUGAUUUCCAAUCGGCCAGAAUCCUGCAUCUUGUGCAUAGAGUUUUCUAGCAAGCCGCACUUUCUACCUGUGCUGUUCAAAAUAUUCCUCGAAGCCCUUCUUGUCCCACACACCUCCUCACCCCCAUCCAGCACCCUCUGAGACCCAUGACCACAGCUCAGAAUGUCUCACUCCCCCACUUGCCCCCUCCCUCACUCCUGAGAAGAAAUCAGAGAGUUUGACCCUCUGCAGUUUAAUUGUGUUGGGAGAUGUGAUCUUUGAGACACCCAGCUGAGCUCCACACAUGGGUUCUUUCGGCUCAGACACAGAAGGCUCACUUACCCGAGGCCACACCUUCACUUUGUCAAUCUGGUUCAAGGUGUGCUUGUAGCCCUGAAGAACGUGGUUAUUUAUGUAGUCCACGGCCACCAGGGCUGCUUGCUCUGUUUCUGGGUCAUCACAGUCCAGUUCCCUAUAAACCAGACCUGGUAUAUGCGGGGCGGCAUGGCAGCCCCAGAGCUGAGCAAGGCAAAGGAGCAGGGCGAGGGACUUCAUGGCUGCUCCAGAGGGACCCUAGCAGGUGGGCAGAUGGCUGGAAGCCUCAGGACCAACCCAGGGGCUCUUCUCUGAAAAGUAGACCAAUGGAGGUCCAAAGGCUUUAUUUAUCUGUCAGAACCUGCCGGGGGAAUUGCAUAAGGACGUGGGAUGAUUUCUGUUCUGGUUCCAAGUAAACCCUUGCAAACAUCAGCCCCGGAAAAGCAAACAGGUUAGGACAUCUCUGGUCCCCAAGAAAUCUGCCAAAGUCAAUGCUGCUGGGGGCAGGUGGAAGGGGGUGGGGAGAUGCUCCGGAGUCAGCUUGGAACACAGAGGGGAGGAGGUGUGCACCAAGGCAAGGUGAGGGGGGGCCGGCACAGCCAGCCCUGGAGUACUGUGGGUUCAGCAGAGGAAGUGCCCUCUACUGAGAUCUGAGCACGGCAUGGGGCCCGUGAGGGGAAAGUAGGGCCCGGCAGCAAAGUGAUAAAGUCGUCUAAUAUGAAAGAGACUUAUCUCCUCCUGGAGGGAGAACGAGGCCCACAGAUGUAGCAAAGAUACAGGUGAUCCAGAGUGAGCAGGGAGAGCUUUGGGAGAUGCUGAGAACUUGGGUGCCUGGAUGUAGAGUGAUGAGAAGACACCAUCUGCCGUAAAGCAGCUCACCUUGACUCACGUGGCCCAGCAACGUCUCAUCAGCUAAGAACUCUAGAUUAUUAUACAAAAUCAUCAUAAUGUUUGUCUUGUGACGACAGAUUGGAAUUUAUUUCUCCAAUCCAAAACAUUGGUCAAUGGAAUACAAACUACCCUUGUUCCAAGGACCAAUCGGGUUUUCUGUGAAGGCUCAGAGAGGUUCUGCCACUUGACCACAUCACACAGCGAUGGAGCCUAGAUUUAGCCCAAUCAUUUUUUUCUCUAUUAACCCCAAACCAAGAGACCAGAGGGCCCAAAGAAAGCUGAGAAGGUUGACUGCUGUGCAUUGCCUUUAAGAGCAUGAGAGUCAAUGCAGAAAAUCACAUCCAUCUGUCCUGCUGGUCUCUGUCAUCAACUUUUGAUGUCUUCAAAACAAGGUGAGUGGCACUUUCAGACAAGAAGGAAGAUUGUCCUCAGAUGGUCACAUUGGGUCUGGCUGUACAGCAUUAUGUUGGUUAUUAUAAACACACAAGAAAAGUGUAAGCUGUGGUUCCUGCCCUCAGCUGACGUUAAAUCCACAGGAACACAAUGCCCCAAAUUGGAAAGGGUCUCAUGGGACAACAGUGUCUAUGUUAUUUUUAAUCUUGUGUCCCUAGGACCUGCCUCCUGCCUGGCGCAGAUUGGGCCCCUAUUCACGAUUGCUGUCUGAGAGGCAUUAGGGCAACUUCCCACUCAGCUCAGAGGCCCCCCUCCAGUGUGUGUGGUGUUUACUUGAAGACAUUUACAUACAGGAAUCUCUCCACCAUGCUGGCAGUGCAUUCUAUUGCUAAAUCACUCUUUCCUUCAUAUCAAGUCAAGACCUGCCUACCUUGUAACCUCACAAAUGGACCCAGAUUCUCCCCCUCAAGAUCUACAUAGCCUAAGUCAAUUCUCUGGUCUAUAUGUUGGGCUGUAGGUAUUUAGGGACAUCCAUGUUGUAGCAUGCUACCCUUCUCUGACCUCUGUUAUCUCUUUCUUCAGGUACUUCUCAGGUGUCUUAGUUUUGAGACCACUUCAUCAUCUUAUUGAAUAGGCAAGUCUGGCACCAGUGGUUAGAAAUAGGAUGAAUCAUCUUGUCACUGGGGGGUCACAGCGAUCUGAGUGGAGGCAAACUUGUAUAUGCACAGGUGAAGGGCAAUUCAGGAAUUAGUAGAUAGUGACAUAGGCCACUUGCCACUCAUAGGACGGGAGGAUUUCUCCUGGUUUCCAAAGACUUACCUGGACUCUCAAAAGGAGUUACAAUGAGACUAAAAAACAGAGAGAACAUUCUUCUCCAUAGAUUGCCUUGAUUAGACUUCUUAAAAGUGGAGAGGGAAAAUGUAUGAGGCUAGUUAGUGGAAGACCAGUAAGAGGGGACCAAGUCUCCAUUCGUCUUGAAUCUAACAAGGCUCUCAGCUGGUAGCAUGUCUUCACUACUUGUUACGUGAUCUCUAGAAAACAUGUAGGGAUGUGGAACGUCGUUGCUUCUGGCGUUCUUGUUAGAACAUUAGAAGGCGACAGCUUGAAAUAGAGAGGGUGCCAAUCACAGGGCCAGGGCAGGUAAUGUGGGCACUUUUCUCUUUCCAUGCUGGGAUUGUGCAACAGGCAGCCACAUCAUUCAGCACAUUAAGCAACAAUUGAGCCUCCAGGACUCAGAUUGUAAUGGAGACUGAGGCAGCGUCAGGAUGCAUAUUAGCAGGAAGGUAAGGGUAAGUAAGAUGGAGAGGGAUGGGAUGGGUAGGGAGGAAGGAAUGGGAGCAGCUUGGCAUGAGUAGGAGCCCCGCACUCGGAGUCAGAACUGACCCCUGGACUAUUUAUUAGCUAUGUGAGCUAACUAGAGAUUUCAUCUUGCUAUGCCUUAGUUUCUUCAUCUGUGAAAUAUGGGCAAUAAAACCUGGCUAGUAGAUAUGUGCUAAGGAUUUAGUGAGAACAUUUGCAAAUUCUCCACCUCGGGUGGUACACGGUGAACUAUCAAUAAAUAGGGGUUCUUUUUAAAAUUUAAAAAAAAUUGUAUACUUUUUUUGUUUUGGAGAGAGGGAGAGUGCACUUGAGCAGGGGAGAGGGCAGAGAGAGAGAGAGAGAGAGAGAGAGAGAAUCUUAAGCAGGUUCCACGCUCAGGACAGAGCCAGAUGCAGGGCUUGAUCCCACGACCCUGGAAUCAUAAGCUGAGCUGAAAUCAAGAGUCAGACCUCAACUGACUAAGCUGCCCAGGUGCCCCAUCAUAUAGAAAUUCUUAAUUGAGAAGUAUGGCUAUUGAAAUAAAAAUAAAAAUACUUAAAUAAGGGGCGUCUGGGUGGUUCAGUUGGUUGAGCAUCCAACUCUUGAUUUCAGCUCAGGUUAUGAUCCUACGGUUUGUGGGUUCAAGCCCUGCAUCAGGCUCUGCACUGUCAGUGCUUGGGAUUCUUUCUCUCCCUCUCUUUCUGCUCUCCCCACCCCCGCUCACACUCUCUUUCUCUCAAAAUAAAGAAACAUUAAAAAAAUACUUAAGUAAAAUAAUAGAUCAAAUAUAGACCAGGAAAAAAUUCAAUCUGGAAUCCCCUUAAGUGCCUCCUCUCUGUCUUUUAAAUGCAAAUUCUGUGUAGGGAUUUGCAUAGCAGGCAGAUGUUGGAGGCUGAAUUCUCACCAGGGUCUGCAUCUUGUCCUCUGCCCACUACCCCACGUGGCCAUGGGCCCCCCAUUUCAUUCCAUAGUGGUGGGUUGCCCCACCCAGAAGCCUAGAGUGGUCCAGCAGGUGUUGGCACCUAGAAAAUUACCUAUAGUCAUACCCUGGCAACACGGAUGAAGGACAACAUGCAAGGAAAAAUGUAAUUUUCCUUUGAACAUCUCACAGUCUCUUCCUCGAGCUUACUGUCCUAAAAUUUGCAUUUGAAACUUUAUUUCUGUUAAACAUGGAUCAUGAAUGACAAUGCCAAUAUACAUUCUGUUGUAUUGCAACUUGAUUUGCAUAAGUACUAAAGUUCGCUGCUUGGUCAACAGGCUUUAAUUUUUCAUAUGUGUAUGUAUGCAUGAUUUUGAUUUUUCUUUUCCAAUACAAAUGUCGCGUGGUUUCUAAAAGUUGGAAAAAACAUAAAAGUUGGAGCUUCCCCCCUUAAGUUAAAUGGGACAGAGCUACAUAGCUAGCUAGGAGGUUUUGUGUGGUCCCAGAGCCUUGACCUCCUCCUAGGCGGUGUUGCCGUGUGUCUGAAGACUGCUGGACAGACACCAGGACACCAUCUGCAAGAGGGGGUGGGGGGCCUUCGGGGGCAGAACCCACCUCCCUGGAAUAGAGCCAGGCCUGGAAGGCCUGCCUGGUACUAAAGCCUCCCCCGUGGUCAAAGGGAACAAUAAAAUAUUGUCUGUUACUUAGAUUUGUCUCCUGCCUUGCCCUGCUUUGAACUCAUUAUCUAAGCCCUAUUAUGAGAAAGAACUGAAGACAGGCUGUCCUCAGAAGACCUCAGGAAGUUCAAGCAUUUCUGUUUUGAUGCCUGUUGACAGCCUGUAACACAGAAGAGCAAAGAGAUCUUCCUCCACUGUCUGCACAGAAGUCACUGUGGCCCUAGGUGCCCCACAACCAUCACUGAGGCGGGAGAGGGCAGUGUCCAGCAGUUAGGGGUGCCAGGACGAGGGCCAGCAGUGCCUGGGGGCAGGCGGUACUGCUCUCAUUGAACCUAUGUCAUUUGAUCAUUGUUCUUUUUUUUUUUUUUUAAAUCUUUUAAUGUUUAUUUAUUUGGAGAGAGGGAGAGAGAGCUGGGAGGGGCAGAGAGAGAGGGAGAGAGAGAGAAUCCCAAGGAGUCCUCACUGUCAGCUCAGAGCCCGAUGUAGGGCUUGAACUCACAAACUGUGAGAUUGUGACCUGAGCUGAAAUCAAGAGUUGGAUGUUUAACCAACAGAGUCACCCACGUGCCCCCGUUCGAUCACUGUUGGAAAACAAUGUCCACUCACUGUAAAUCGCUAACAGAGGGUAUAUUUGGAGACAGGAACAGAGAACGUGACGUUCAACGAAAGCCAUUUGGGAGCAUCGCAUUUAAGAAGGAAUAGGAAACGGUUACCCCAGAAAGUAUAAACCAACAGAGACCACACGUAAUUUGGGAGAUUGGAGAGAGAGAGAGGGUGGCAGCAUUAUCUCUUUGUAUAAAAUCCAAAACUAACAGUUCAAGGUUGAUUUGCUUUCUGAUGUAAUAAAAUGUAGGUCUAAAGUCAGCUUGUUAUUCAAUAUGUCCUCUGUCCGUGAGCUCAAAGACAAGUCCAGGGAAAAGUUAUUGACCACAUACCCUGAGGCACAGCAGGAGGGUGCAGGGUAGGGGGUCUAACGGCCCCUGAGUGGCAGUGUAACCCACACGUGCCUGCAGGCCUCAGUUCUACCUCCUCUCCAAUGCUCUGAUGGUGUCACUAACGCCCCGGGGCCAGUUUCCCUGCUGGGGUGAGGAGAAUAGCCAUGAUGCCGAGGGGGUAGUUUUUGUGCCAUGAAAGGCAGUGGCAGGGUCUGGCUCUGUGCCACACACAGGAGAGGCGCACCGUAACGUCUCCAAAGAAGGUGUGUGGAUGGGGAGGGGGAAGGUGAUGGAGGCCAUGCUCCAGGAGUGGAGGAAAUGGCUCCACGCUGGAUCCAGCGCGUCAUUAUGUCAUUAGGAAGGGUCUUCCCAUGAACCGGGACCGUCUUCAACAAACGCUGGACCAGGGGUGGCCCAAGGUGCUUCCUUGCGUGCCCACACCCUACUAGAUUGCCAAGCCUCCCUGCAGCUCUGUGUUGGCAAAGAGUCUGAGCUGAGGGGUCCGUGGGGGUGUUGUGGAGGGAACAAGUCUGCACCCCCACCCUGCACUGGCUGGGCUCCUUCUGCAGCGGCUGGCCCCUGGCCAUCACUGGGUUCCCAGGGCCUCCAAAGUUCAUGUAUACAGUAGCCGCUUAAUAAAUGUGUAAUCAAUAAUGUUUUCCUCUCCAGUUUCCCUUUGACAAAGUCUGCAAUUAGCCCUCAUUGUUUUUACACCAAAUUAAGUCCGUGAAGUCUUCCACAAUCCAGCUCUUUCUCUCCCUCAACAUAAUUUUGCCCACUCCCUCUCUACACCAGACACCAGUGGGCUUUUCCCAGGCUUCACAAGAGCACAC